GAUGAACGCUAGCGGCAGGCCUAAUACAUGCAAGUCGAACGGUGUCUUCGGACAUAGUGGCGCACGGGUGCGUAACACGUAUGCAACCUACCUUACAUUGGGGGAUAGCCUUUCGAAAGGGAGAUUAAUACCGCAUAAGACAGUAGCUGGGCAUCCAGCAGCUGUUAAAGAUUUAUCGAUGUAAGCUGGGCAUGCGUCCAAUUAGCUAGUUGGUGAGGUAACGGCUCACCAAGGCAAUGAUUGGUAGGGGAACUGAGAGGUCAAUCCCCCACACUGGCACUGAGAUACGGGCCAGACUCCUAUGGGAGGCAGCAGUAGGGAAUAUUGGGCAAUGGACGCAAGUCUGACCCAGCCAUGCCGCGUGCAGGAUGAAGGCGUUAUGCGUUGUAAACUGCUUUUAUACAGGAAGAGACGACUCUUGCGAGAGGCAUUGACGGUACUGUAUGAAUAAGCACCGGCUAACUCCGUGCCAGCCGCCGCAGUAAUAC
rnacentral:rRNA from 1 species